rnacentral:rRNA from 1 species
CAGCAAUGCUCAGUGGCGGACGGGUGAGUAACGCGUGGGAAUAUACCCUUCGGUUCGGAAUAGCCUCGGGAAACUGGGAGUAAUACCGGAUACGGUCUACGGACGAAAGAUUUAUCGCCGAAGGAUUAGCCCGCGUUGGAUUAGGUAGUUGGUGGGGUAAUGGCCUACCAAGCCGACGAUCCAUAGCUGGUUUGAGAGGAUGAUCAGCCACACUGGGACUGAGACACGGCCCAG